rnacentral:misc_RNA from 1 species
CACACAAACGGAGGUUGAGACUAACACGCACACCCACCGGGGAGCCACGCUCGCCCACUACACUCGGUGCAGCGCGCGCGCCUUUUCCGUCCCCACGUCCUCUUCUCUUUUCCUUUUACUGUCAAGCAGGAGGCGCGCGGGAUGUGUGGGUGGGUAGGUGAAGAGCAGGGAGGGAGGAAGGGAAGCUCCUGCCAUGUCUGUGUGCGCGCGUGAGUGCGUGUUGCGUAUUUCAUGUUUUCUUUUUUAGAUUCUGCAGUUGUGUGUUCGUAUGAUCAAUUCAUUCUUUCCUUUUUUUCGUGUUGUCCUGGAUGGCUAUGCAACAGAAAACACAAACACACACGCAGGCAACAUGAACGAGAAACAGCAGCAGCAAGGUCCAUGCAACAGCCACAGCCGUAGCAAGAGGAACAGAGAUACAUGUAUACAUGUGUGAGUAGACGUCUUCCCUCGUUGCUGCCCACCGCCCAUCUCUCUUCUCUCUUUUCGCCUCCUUCCUCGCUUUCCGCUGUGAAGAGAGGGACGGCGAAGAGAAAGAGAAGAUAGAUGGGCGAUGUGAAGCGAGAGAGAGGGGCGCCGAUCAAUCCGCCAGCAACGCGGAGGACGAAGCUCAGCGAGACAGAUAUUUCAAAAAGCAAGUAAAACCGGCAAAAGAGGGAGGGGCGGAAGAAGCGGGAGCUUGCCAUAAUGCGGAAACCAGAGCAAUAAAACUAAAAGGCGACGUGAGAGGUGCGAGAGGUGCGGGAGGUGCGCGCUUGCACGCGUUUUGCCACGAUGAGGAGUGGGGGCGAGGAGGGCUGAUGGGGCGGGGAGCGUGUGUAUGAGUGUGCCAUGCGCAAACGCCGCACCCCGCCCACGCACCGACGAGCUCACACGCGCACAUAUGCCGUGUACUGGAGUGAGAUGCGCAUGCGCACGCCAGCAAAGUUGAAAAGGAGGACACACCGAAAAGGGAGAGAAGCAUCGUCGGGCACGUAUGAGCUGUUGGAUGGCAGAAGCUACCUGUGCACGCUUUCCUUUUUCUGGCAUGUGUGUGUGUGUGUGUGUGUGGUGAGUCCGCUUUUUGUGUUGCCCGAGUGCAGCACCGCAACUUCUCCCCAUUUGGUGUUGUUGCUGUGGUUGCUUUCCUCCCCUUCUCUUUUUUCUGAAAGUUUAUAUUGUCGUUUCGCUUGCUUUGGAUGUCUCUUUACCGUCUGUCCUUCUUGCCCGCUCUACCUUUCUUGCGGAAAUGCGCACAGAGACUCACUCAUUGGCACGCGCGAGUCGAAUCCAGACAAGAAGUUCCACCUCCCUCUUUGUUUUCGUUUUUCCUCAUGCUCCACUACCACCACCAUCGCCACCACUCUCUCUCAUUCGCCGACGUUUUUGUUAGUUUCUUUUACUGUGUGUAUCUGUGUGCCCUCAUGCGUGUUUGUGUGUACGCGUGUGCGCGUCUCUGCACAGGCGCCAGCUGGUAGUCUGUAGUUCUCGAGUAGGACGAUGUUGCUCGCUUUCCAUCGACUUUUAUUUCGCUUUAUGUGCGGCGCUUCUCUGCUCUUCCUCGUCGUCUUCGUCUUCGUGUUUUCGCUCUCUUGUCGUUGUUCUUGUGUGCUUCCCUCUGUCUGUGGCCCCUUCCCCUUCCCUCCCCUUCCCUCCCCUCCCUCUUAUGAUGUGUGGAAGUGACCGGUCGGUGUGUCUCUUUCCUGUUUCUCUGUCUUCCUUUUUUUUCAUGCGCCCGGCGCUUUAGUUGUCGCUGGUGUGUGUAGCCGUUUCGUGUCAGAGUCGCGUGUACGUAGACGCUUCGUUGUGUCUGUGCCCCCCUCUUCGGCUUCGUGUAUGUGUGUGUGUGUUUGGCGUUGAUGUGUUUCUGUCUGCCUGCCUCUGCGUCUAUGUCUGCGUGUAGGUGAGUGAUCGGGGCAUCUGCCAAUGUGUAUGCGUUUCUUAUUUAGUUAGUUCGAGAGUAUGCGUGUGCUCGUGCGUCUGUGUGUGCGUGAUUACGAUGAACUACCAAAGUAGUGUAAGGGGAACGAAAAAGCGAACAGCCGCAAGGAAAAAAAAGAAACAGGUCAUGAGGCUCUCCUCCACAAUGAAGAGAAGCUCCACAAGACAACGUGCACGGAGAGGCUCCAGCGAUGGCGACGUGGAGGAGAGCUGGAAAGGAGAUGGUAGGGUGCGUAGUGCACCUGUGCGAGUGGCUGGGGGCGAAGGGAACUCAGCAACAGUGCUGUAGCGUGAGCCGAGGUAAGGCUGCAGAAGCGGGAGCGAUGAGACGAGGACGUAGGGCAGACGUGAAGGAAAGAGGGUUGGGGGGUCGAUGAAGGAGAGUUGACAGAGGUAGGGGCUAGAAGGACGGCAAGGAUGCUGAUGAAAGGCGGUUGCGGCAUUACUACGGACGCUCUCCGAUUGAGUUUGCGUGUGUGCAGGGCUUGCGCCGCCACCAUCCUCACCCUCUCUCUGUUGCGUCUGGAUGCUCCUCUCUUGACCCCCCCCCCCAAUGCUUUCACCUCUUUCACCUUCUGUGUGUAUAUGUACGUGCGUGUGCUUCUCUCGCUCUCUGUCUGCUCUCACCGUCGGCGCUGACGUUGCCCCUCCACCCACCAACAGAGCACUACGAGUGCUCUCUCCAUGCAGAGCCUCCACCUCCCCUCUCUCACUUGGGCCUCUUCCCACUUGUUAGUCAGCUGGCUGUGUGUGCGCCUCCUUCCUCAUUUUAUUCUCUUUGCCUUUUCCUCCUGUCCAUCGAGAUUGAGCUGAUGGAAGGGGGCGAACGCAGUAGGUGGGCGAGUGGGUGGGCGGCGAGGGUGCACCUCUCAGAGCAUGAGGACGCAUCCAGCUUCUCUCUUCCUGCAUCGUCACCUCUAUCGUCUUUUUUUUCGUAUACGGGUGAGCAGCGCUGCCCCCUCCCCCCCCCCCAUUCUCUCUCUCUCCCUUGCAG